ACGUGGUGUUUAGUCUUGCAAUUACCUAGAAUUGCACCCAAUCCUGCGGAUUGUUGUGGUAGCCAGCCCUAACGGUCGACGUAUUCCACCUCGUUCGGAUCGGUGUUUGUAGGACCGUAGUCGGACCUUCCUAGCCCCCUUCUCAUCUCUUUCUGUGGUUAGUGCUCUGAUGUCCCGAUAUAAAUAAUCUUUGAAGUAAUUUUGAUUCUUAGAUCAACUAGAGAACUCUCAGGAAACUUCCUCUCUUCCCACUAAAAAUAAUUAUAUAGUUAUCCUUGGGCGAUCUUGGAUCUUAAUUAGUACACUCACGUUCCCUGUGGAAAAUCGAUACUCUAGAAUACUCCCGGGUGAAAGCUACAUGGUAUCCGUGCGCUUGCGGAUUUUUCUGUUUGCAUUUAAAAUACCCAACAAGCUUUCUGGUGCCGUUGCCGGGGAAUGGUAGCUGUGCUAGUUUCGAACCAAGUCGUCCGUGUAUCCUUUUUCUUUUCCUUUUUUACCAUACUCACCUUACCAUUUUCACCACACCACAUGGAUUUCACUCCUAUCUAUAAAUUCUUUGCUCCAAAGGGCGAGUUAUUAGAGCCACCACCAUCAUCACAUCCAAUUCUUACAGAUGGCUACGACCUCGGCCCUGAUCUAAUAGCCAUGAUUCAGGAGCAACCCUUCUCUGGGCAAGUAGAUGAAGAUCCAUACACCCAUCUUAGAGAAUUUGAGCAGUUGUGCUCUUGUCGAUCUAUUUCUGGCAUGACACAAGAAACCCUUAAAUGGAAAUUAUUUCCGUUCUCCCUUUUGGGAAGAGCAAAAAAGUGGUAUGCUCAUUCUGUAGGAGGCGUUAAUGGAAAUUGGGAUGAACUUCGGGACAACUUUUGUCUCGCUUUCUUCCCACUUUUUUCGAAUCGCUGACCUUAGAAUUGAAAUUCUUACAUUCAAACAAAGAGAGAAGGAAACUUUAGGAGCAGCUUGGGCUAGGUUCACAAGCCUUAGCAAUUCCGGUCCAAACCUUGCCCUGCCUGACAAUGUACUGUACUACCACUUUUAUCGUGGUCUAAACAAGGAAGCUGCUCUUCACCUCGACAUUGCUUCAGGAGGCUCAUUCACACACAAACUCACAGAUGAGGGGAGAGCUAUCCUAGAGAGAAUCCUUGAAAAUACCCCUUACACAGGCAUUUAUGAUGAGUUUCCUGAAGAAGAAAAAGAAGUCGAGCCUGAUCCUAAACCAAAAGAUGAGGAACUUGCAACUGAGAUAGAAAUUCCACCUGACCCAUCCAUUAAUUUGGUUGUAGAGAAACCUCCUGAUAAAGGAAUGCAAAACCAACUAAGGGAUGAUGAACCACCACCUUUAGAGCAUCCCUUUGAAUUCGAGGAAGAUCUUUUUGAAGAUUAUGGAAACACCUCGAAUUUUCCUAUCCAAACACGACCUCUAGCAAGGACCACUCAAUCCGUUCUAAGAGUAGAACCUGUUGACAUAGAACACAUCAAAAGCCUUUCGGCUAUUCUGAGUUAUGAAUGGCUAACAGAAGCAGAGCUGUCUCCUAAGGUAGCUCGGAUCAUCACUCCUUCAACCAUUCUUCUAUGCCAAAUUAGAAGGUCCGCUAGGAAGGUCCACUAUAAUCCAUAUGUUCGGAUAAAUGUUAUUUCAAUGGAGUUAGCUGACACUCUUUAUCCCAACGAGUCCAUAACCCCAUCUCAAAAACUUUUACAAAGUCCAUCUAGAUUAAUUCUAGAAAGCCAUGGGGUAUUAAGGGCAGUUCCUGUUAGAAUCAAGGACUCUAGAAUAUGUCUAGACUUUCACAUUUUUGACAUACCAGAGAUUCCUCUCUUGAUUGGCAGACCAAUCAUGAAACUUCUACAAGAACAGCCACAACGAGGUCAUUUAGACUUCAAGGUUGGGAAUUCCACUAUUGUUGUUCCUCUAGCUAGAUCAAUUAACACGAUAGUGGAACCCAAACUUGAACCAGAUCCUAUUGAGGAGAUCUUAAUGCUGACUCAAGAGGAGAUGGCCCAACCAUUCUUUAAUCAUGAACACUUUGUUCAAGAAGAAGAAGAGUUGGCAAAACUCGUUGAGCUAGACAAAAAUGAACAAUCUUCACCUCCUUCGAUAGAGUUAAAACCUCUUCCCUCUGGCCUUAGAUAUGUCUUCUUGCAUAAUAACCCAAAAACUCCAGUAAUUAUCAGUGACAAGCUUUCCGAUUAUGAAACACAACAACUUGUCACUGUUCUUGAAAGACAUAGAUCAGCAUUUGGCUACUCUCUCGAGGAUCUCACAGGCAUUAGUCCCAUUCUUUGCACUCAUCGUAUCCCUAUUGAUCCUAAUUUUACACCUUCAAGGGAACCACAACGAAGACUUAACAAUGCUAUGCGAGAGGUUGUUAAGAAAGAGCUCCUCAAACUCUAUCGUGCUGGGAUUAUUUAUCUUGUGCCACAUAGUGAGUGCGUUAGCCCUGUCCAAGUAGUGCCAAAGAAAGGAGGAAUGACGGUCGUUAGGAAUGAGAAGAAUGAACUCAUCCCUCAACGAAUUGUCACUGGGUGGCGUAUGUGUAUUGACUAUCGAAAACUCAACAUGGCUACAAAGAAAGAUCAUUUUCCGUUACCCUUCGUUGAUGAAAUGUUGGAACGGCUUGCAAACCACUCUUUCUUUUGUUUUCUUGAUGGUUAUUCUGGAUAUCACCAAAUCCCAAUCCACCCAGAUGACCAAGAAAAGACUACCUUUACAUGCCCGUAUGGAACUUAUGCAUACCGACGAAUGUCGUUCGGAUUGUGCAAUGCUCCAGCUUCUUUCCAACGGUGUAUGAUGUCUAUUUUCUCGGACAUGAUUGAAAAGAUCAUGGAGGUUUUCAUCAAUGAUUUUACCGUCUAUGGCAAAACCUUCGAUCAUUGUUUGGAGAAUUUAGAUAGAGUCUUGCAGCGAUGUGAAGAAAAGCACUUAAUCCUGAACUGGGAGAAAUGCCAUUUUAUAGUUCAGGAAGGAAUAGUGCUAGGACAUAAAGUGUCCGAACGUGGUAUAGAGAUGGACAAAGCAAAGAUUGAAGUUAUUGAAAAACUUCCACCUCCCACGAAUGUGAAAGGAAUCCGUAGCUUUUUAGGACAUGCAGGGUUCUAUAGACGCUUUAUCAUGAACUUCUCUCAAAUUGCUAGACCCCUAACUAGUCUCCUACCUAAGGAUGCACCUUUCAUCUUUAGUGAUGAGUGUCAUGAAUCUUUUCAAACUCUUAAGAAAGCACUCAUCUCAGCCCCGAUUAUCCAACCACCUGAUUGGAAUCUUCCUUUUGAGAUCAUGUGUGAUGCUAGCGAUUUUGCAGCUGGUGCCGUUUUAGGACAAACCAAGGAUAAAAAGCAUUAUGCCAUAUCCUACGCUAGCAAAACCUUGUCUGGACCACAGCUCAAUUACACUACAACUGAAAAAGAGCUUUUAGCUGUUGUCUUUGCUAUAGACAAGUUUAGAUCUUACUUAGUGGGGGCAAAGAUAAUCAUCUAUUCAGACCAUGCUGCUCUCAAGUACCUCCUCACUAAGAAAGAUGCUAAGCCUCGUCUAAUUCGAUGGAUUCUUCUACUCCAAGACUUUGACAUAGAAAUCCAAGAUAGGAAGGGAGUUGAGAAUUCCGUAGCUGACCACUUGUCUAGGCUUCAAUAUAAGGAAACACAUGAUGAGCUUCCCAUAAAUGACUACCUAAGGGAUGACACCCUGCUUAAGAUAACACAUGCAGAUCCAUGGUACGCAGACAUCGUAAACUUUAUAGUAAAAGGUUAUGUCCCACCUGGCGCAAACAAAAGCAAGUUACUUCACGAUAGUUGUUUCCACCUUUGGGAUGAGCCAUAUCUUUUCUGAGUCUGUGCUGAUGGACUCUUGAGAAGGUGUGUUCCUAUGGCUGAGGCUACUCAAAUUAUGGAAAGAUGCCAUGCCUCGCCAUAUGGAGGACACUAUGGAGCAUUCCGAACACAUGCUAAAAUUUGGCAAAGUGGCUUUUUCUGGCCAACGAUGUAUGAAGAUACAAAGGACUUUGUCAGGAGAUGCCACCGAUGUCAAAAACAUGGGAGUAUCAACUCACGAAAUGAAAUGCCUCUCACAAAUAAUCUUCAAGUAGAACUUUUCGAUGUAUGGGGCAUUGAUUUCAUGGGGCCAUUCCCUAUGUCCGGGAAUUGCGAGUAUAUCUUAGUAGCUGUGGACUACGUGUCCAAAUGGGUAGAAGCCCUACCUUGUCGAUCAACUGAUUCAAAACAUGCCAAAAGAAUGUUCCAUGAAGUAAUCUUUCCUCGCUUUGGUAUACCCCGGAUAGUUAUAAGCGAUGGAGGUUCCCACUUCAUUGACAAAAUCUUCCGAAAGUACCUAGCCGAUCAUGGAGUUUGACACAACGUCGCAACACCAUUCCAUCCUCAGACUAGCGGUCAAGCCGAAACAUCUAACAAACAAAUCAAAAAUAUUUUACAAAAGACCGUAGAUGAGAUGGGUAAGGGGUGGAAGGACAAACUUCCUGAUGCACUUUGGGCAUAUAGAACUGCAUUCAAAACACCCAUAGGCAUGUCACCUUAUCAACUUGUAUAUGGAAAAACUUGACAUUUGCCUGUGGAAGUAGAGUUUAAGGCUCAUUGGGCACUCAAGAAAUGGAACAUGGAUCUCCACCUUGCUAGCGAGAAUCGUCUGAUGCAAUUAUCUGAGCUAGAAGAAUGGAGAGAGAAAGCCUACCACAAUUCAAGGAUCUAUAAAGAGAGAACAAAAAGAUGGCAUGAUAAGAGAAUCAAGCACAAGGAGUUUAAGCCUAGAGAUAAGGUUCUACUAUUCAAUUCAAGAGUUAAGCUCUUUGGACAUGGUAAGCUACGAAGUAAGUGGGAUGGACCAUACAAGGUUAUUGACACUUCAACUCAUGGAGCCAUUACCAUCCAAGACGACAUAGUAACACUUUUAAGGUAAAUGGUCAACGCUUGAAAAUCUAUCUCGAGCCACAAAACAACCUGGUAGAGGAACUUGAUGUGAUUGAGUUCAUAGAAUUCUCAUAUUAAGCUCUCGUAAGCUCUAGGCAAUUACCUAACCCUUAAUAUGCUCCAAAAGUUUUGUUGACUAUUUGGGUUGUGCGGGAUUUUGAGGCUUAAGAAGAGUGAGACCGAACAUGCAGGCCACAAGAGUGAACGACUAUGUCAACAUCCAGCUUGGGGGAGGCAUCCCCACGUGUAUCUAGAUAAGUAUUACUUUUGUUUCUUGGUUUUAUUUACUAGUAUUCGAAAAUAAAUAGAUAAAUAAAAAUGCAUAACCAUGAAACCAAACAAAGUUUUUCUUUUGAGUAAUAUACAAUAGUUUUGUGUAAUCCUAAGUUUUAAAUAAAAAUAAAAAGAAAGUUUGAUCCAAGUCUAGGUAAUUGACAACAUGAUAUCAGAAGGUCUGAGCUACUAUUUAACUUGUUCCAAGUUUUGCUAGAGUUCUGGAGAUUUUAUCUUUUGAAAAUCUAAAAAUUCAAAGAAAAAAAUGAUGAGAUCCUGUUUGACAUAUUACCUAGAGUCUUAUAAGAUAUGAAUAUUAAAACUGUGGGCACUUGCUUUGUUCAAGCCAUUGUUAAUUCUUGUAGUUUUGGUUGAGAGAAUUGUCAUGCUCCAAAGAUCAAGGUCUUUUUGUUUUAAAAAUAUAAAAGAUUCACUCUUCCGAAGUAUUAUUGCGUUAGAGGCAUGGGAUUAUGCAAAAAUUUGAUUCGAAAAAAAAAGAGUGAGACGACAGGUAAAACUGGACACGUGUCCGAUAGUAGAAUUAGGGGUACUUGGUGCCACUUGAAAAAAAAGGAGAGAGACUGAAAAAAAGAAAGAAAAAAAAAUGAUAGCCCAUGGUCCCUCUAAUAAGCAAUAUGCCAGUAAGAGAUGACAAACUUUUCAAAAAGGUCAAAGGUCUUGAUCUAGGAGUAUGACAUUCCUCUCCCUUGCUCCGAGUAUUGACAUAGCAAAAUGCAAAGUAAGUAUGCUAAAACUUUUAAAGCUCUACUUAUAUAUCUUUCGAGAAGAAGGCAAAUGCCUCAGUUUUAUUUUGCAGACUUAUAAAAAACUCCAGAACAAAGGUAAGACAGAAGAACUUGAGACAUAGUACUUGACUUGAUCGUUCUGUUUUUCAAUCACUUAAGACCUAAGUGAUAACUUAAAAAACCCUGUAGUAAGAGGCAUAAAAUUAACCCCUGUUUUCUUGCUGAUUUUUGCUUUGCUCAAGGACGAGCAAAGGUUAAGCUUGGGGGAGCUUGUUGACGGUCCUUAAUGCUCACAUUUAACCAUCAACUAAUCAUGGAAAAGGAUCCAAAUGCAACCAACACCUAGACUUAGGGUUUUAUCUGACAGAAUUCCACGAGUUUUGGUGUUUGUCUAUUUCUGCAGGGGGUUAUCAGGAAAUAUGGAAGAAAGGCCCACAUGUCGGGAUUACAUAGAGAUAUUAACGUGCCGCGCAAUUUUCUACCAUCUAGAAGACUCCAGAAGCCACGGGAACGAACGGGAAGGCGAUCGGGCUCGGAGGCAGGGCGCCCGCCCUACCCCCCUAGGCGCCCGCCCUCCUCUGCUGGACAAUCAGCACGAGUCUCGAGGAUUAUGCCCCACCGACUCUAAGGAUCAAGGAAAAUCACACGAUUAAGGUCGGUUUGAUCGGAUGGUGGAGAAUAACGUGGAAAUUCCUUGGGAGCUACUCUUCCUAGAUUUCUUGGGAGCUACUCUUCCUAGAUUUCUUGGGGGCUACUCUUCCUGGACUAUAUAAGCAGACCCCCACCAGCCCCUGGAGGCAUACCUCUUCUACAGAAUCAAAGUUAGGGUUUCAAUUCUUCAUCCAAGUAGAGAGGAUCCCUCUAGUUCUUCUAGUUCUACCUCUAGUUCAUCUAGAUCUAGUUCUAGUUCAUCUAGUUCUAGUUCUUCUAGUUCUUGUUCUAGUUAGUUCUAGUUGUAAUCUAGAAAAUAGGGAGAGAGAAGAGGAGAGCGGAGGAGGAACCGGAUCUAUCGGAUCUUCCUCAACAUUGUACUUUUGCAGCAACUGGUUCGUUCUCCAGGUUCUUCAAUUCAUAAUCCUGAGUUAUUUAAUUACUUUUAUUUAUAUUCAAGUUAUUUAUUGGAUUCCCGCUUGCAUCAAGUGCUCUAAUCUUUGUAACAUUAGAGUAGUAAUUAAUAGAUUAGACGUGGUGUUUAGUCUUGUAAUUACCUGGAAUUGCACCCAAUCCUGCAGAUUGUUGUGGUAGCCUUAGGGUAGUGACAGCCCUAACGGUCGACGUAUUCCACCUCGUUCGGAUCGGUGUUUGUAGGACCAUAGUUGGACCUUCCUAGCCCCCUUCUCAUCUCUUUCUGUGGUUAGUGCUCUGAUGUCCCGAUAUAAAUAAUCUUUGAAGUAAUUUUUGAUUCUUAGAUCAACUAGAGAACUCUGAGGAAACUUCCUCUCUUCCCACCAAAAAUAAUUAUAUAGCUAUCCUUGGGCGAUCUUGGAUCUUAAUUAGUACACUCAUGUUCCCUGUGAAAAAUCGAUAUCUGGAAUACUCCCGGGUGAAAGCUACAUCGGUAUCCGUGUGCUUGCGGAUUUUUCUGUUUGCGUUUAAAAUACCCAACAAUGAUCCACCCAUCAUCCUUGAGAGAUCGUUCCUCAGCGCCGUUAAAGCAAUCAUCUACAUUGGAACCGGAGAAGUCCACAUGCACUUCCCCUCUGAGAAGGUACGCCACUAUUUUACUAACCUUAACUAUACAGUUAAAGACUCUAAGCAGGUCAGGACAAGAAGAAGACGACGCAACCGCAACCAAAGGUGGCAAAUCAUCAAGGACGGAUGGGCAGACUACGAAGGAAAGUGGUAAGGUCUGAAGACAUACAGCUUUAACAGAACUGUCCUGAGGAGACCGUAGCACCAAGUCAGAAAGAGAAGAUAGUUAUACACGAAGGGAAGGCGCCACCGGAAUCACCGACUACGCCAUCCAGCGAAUCCCAGGACGACUGAGAAAAUGGAGGGUCCCGUUCGGAGGACUUAAAAACACUGAACGCCUUUCCAAGAGGUAAACUUGUAGUUAUCCUUUUUCUUUCAAAAGUUUGCUUAGUUAAUCAGGUUCAUAUCAUCUCGAAAAGAAAAUAAAAAUGUUAAAAAUAGCAAGCCCCAUGUGAGUAUGCUCAUGGCAUAAAACCCAUAAAUACAUCCACUGUGGUGGCAUAAAAAUAAAAUAAAUA
rnacentral:lncRNA from 1 species